rnacentral:lncRNA from 1 species
CGGAAAAUUAAAGUUCGGGGAGAAGUUUCAAACUUGCGUUAUAGAAUACAACAAAACAUGAAAUAAUUGAGAAGGAAAUAACUGACAUAGAAGGUUUCUUUAAAAUCAUUUCUUAAAUAUAAGCUCACAUCACUCUUUCCUUUAAAAAAAUCUUCCAUAAUUUUCUUAAAAUAAUUCAUCACUUUUGCUACACACUGGAUAUUCUGUAUAAAGCCAUAUUUUGGAUAAUGUAAUUUUGUAGAGUAAUAUAGAACUACCAUUUAACUACUACAUUUUCUAAAUAUAAAACUAAAAUAAUUUUAUAACUUGUCCAACAAAUUACACCAAAGAUACAAUUCAUUGAGACUACUAACUGGUAAAACAUACAGAUGAUGCAAAAGUCUUUUAAUUCAAGUUUUUACAUUCAAGUUGAAGAGAUUUUAGGUCUUUUAAGUCUUUAGCACAAAAGUUUAAGAGCGCCAAGAUUCCACCUUGAACCUAAAACGUUAAGGCCAUGCCUUACAUUUCUAUAAAAUUUAAAUUACAUUAAAGAAGCUCAAAAUAUUAUAUUUACCCACAAAAUCUGUUUUAGUACACCCUCAAAUUCUCCGGCAUUACCUAGUGAUUCUUUUUAGCACAAUGUGUCAUGUCUGGAUGGUAGAAACAAGCUUAAGUCAGAGAAGAAGAAAUUAUAUCUUUGUUCCCUCUUUACAGACAAAAGCACUAUCCAGCUGAAUUCCAAUUAGAAAUGUGUGUGUGUGUGUGUGUGUGUGCGUGUGUGGGUGUCCUUGUUUGUAUUUAAGUACAUGUAUGCAUCUCUGUUUUUCAUUCCCAAAAGGAAACAUUUCCUCUCCAGGAUUUGACUAUAGGUAUUUAAAGUAUUUCCAAGAAUUCAGGCUCUACUAAUCCUUACAACCUCUAUCCUCAACUCCUAGGAAAUGACGUUUUGUGUUGGUAUGCUCAGCCACACAGGAAAAGACGGCAAAGCAUCAGGAUUUUCGCAGUACCCGCUUACUAGAUUUGGCAGCCCCAUUUUACAUAGGGAAUAAAGUUUGUUUAAAUAAGGUAAGAAUCACUGUUGAACAUGGAUGCCUGGCCUCAAAACAAUGAACAUGUAUAAUGGGAGUAAGAAAUUGAGGACUUCAGAGAUGGAACAACACACAUGAGCGCUGAAUACCACGGUAUCUGUUCAUUUUAUAGAUAAUCUAGCAUAUAAUCCCU